GACGAACGCUGGCGGCGUGCUUAACACAUGCAAGUCGAGCGGUAAGGCCCUUUCGGGGUACGACGAGCGGCGAACGGGUGAGUAACACGUGGGUGACCUGCCCUCCAGCUCUGGGAGUAAGCCUGGGAAACCGGGGUCUAAUACUGGAUAUGACUCCAUGACGCAUGUUGUGGGGUGGAAAGCCUUGUGCGGCUGAGGAUGGGCCCGCGGCCUAUCAGCUUGUUGGUGGGGUGAUGGCCUACCAAGGCGACGACGGGUAGCCGGCCUGAGAGGGCGACCGGCCACACUGGGACUGAGACACGGCCCAGACUCCUACGGGAGGCAGCAGUGGGGAAGUCUUGCGCAAUGGGCGAAAGCCUGACGCAGCGACGCCGCGUGAGGGAUGACGGCCU
rnacentral:rRNA from 1 species